GGGGAAUAUUGCACAAUGGGGGAAACCCUGAUGCAGCGACGCCGCGUGAAGGAAGAAGUAUCUCGGUAUGUAAACUUCUAUCAGCAGGGAAGAUAGUGACGGUACCUGACUAAGAAGCCCCGGCUAACUACGUGCCAGCAGCCGCGGUAAUACGUAGGGGGCAAGCGUUAUCCGGAUUUACUGGGUGUAAAGGGAGCGUAGACGGUGUGGCAAGUCUGAUGUGAAAGGCAUGGGCUCAACCUAUGGACUGCAUUGGAAACUGUCAUACUUGAGUGCCGGAGGGGUAAGCGGAAUUCCUAGUGUAGCGGUGAAAUGCGUAGAUAUUAGGAGGAACACCAGUGGCGAAGGCGGCUUACUGGACGGUAACUGACGUUGAGGCUCGAAAGCGUGGGGAGCAAAC
rnacentral:rRNA from 1 species